AGAUGGAAAGAAAAAGUAUCCUCUACUUGCACCCAGUUAGAAUCAUCAAUCAUUUCACUUGUAGUUUGGAAUAAAGAAAGAAUUUCUAGACUUAAUUGUGUACAUUCACCUAUUUCUUUUGUAAUAAUGAAAGAGACCUCUUAACAUCAAUGCAUC